CGGGGAGGUAGUGACGAAAAAUAACGAUACGGGACUCAUCCGAGGCCCCGUAAUCGGAAUGAGAACAUUUUAAAUCCUUUAACGAGGACCAAUUGGAGGGCAAGUCUGGUGCCAGCAGCCGCGGUAAUUCCAGCUCCAAUAGCGUAUAUUAAAGUUGUUGCGGUUAAAAAGCUCGUAGUUGGGUUUGUGUGUCACAGUGUCGGUUCACCGCUCGCGGUGUUAAACUGGCAUUAUGUGGUACGUCCUACCGGUGGGCUUAGCUCCUCAGGGAGCGGUCCUACCAAUCUCCCAUCGCGGUGCUCUUUACUGAGUGUCGAGGUGGGCCGGUACGUUUACUUUGAACAAAUUAAAGUGCUUAAAGCAGGCUACAUUCGCCUGAAUAUUGUGUGCAUGGAAUAAUGAAAUAGGACCUCGGUUCUAUUUUGUUGGUUUUCGGAACUCCGAGGUAAUGAUUAAUAGGGACUGAUGGGGGCAUUCGUAUUGCGACGUUAGAGGUGAAAUUCUUGGAUCGUCGCAAGACGGACAGAAGCGAAAGCAUUUGCCAAAAAUGUUUUCAUUAAUCAAGAACGAAAGUUAGAGGUUCGAAGGCGAUCAGAUACCGCCCUAGUUCUAACCAUAAACGAUGCCAACUAGCGAUCCGCCGAUGUUCCUCCGAUGACUCGGCGGGCAGCUUCCGGGAAACCAAAGUUUUUGGGUUCCGGGGGAAGUAUGGUUGCAAAGCUGAAACUUAAAGGAAUUGACGGAAGGGCACCACCAGGAGUGGAGCCUGCGGCUUAAUUUGACUC
rnacentral:rRNA from 1 species